AUUGAACGCUGGCGGCAUGCCUUACACAUGCAAGUCGAACGGCAGCACGGACUUCGGUCUGGUGGCGAGUGGCGAACGGGUGAGUAAUGUAUCGGAACGUACCUUUCAGUGGGGGGAUAACGUAGCGAAAGUUACGCUAAUACCGCAUAUUCUGUGAGCAGGAAAGCAGGGGAUCGCAAGACCUUGCGCUGAUUGAGCGGCCGAUAUCAGAUUAGCUAGUUGGUGGGGUAAAGGCCUACCAAGGCUACGAUCUGUAGCGGGUCUGAGAGGAUGAUCCGCCACACUGGAACUGAGACACGGUCCAGACUCCUACGGGAGGCAGCAGUGGGGAAUUUUGGACAAUGGGGGCAACCCUGAUCCAGCCAUGCCGCGUGAGUGAAGAAGGCCUU
rnacentral:rRNA from 1 species